rnacentral:rRNA from 1 species
AUUGAACGCUGGCGGCAGGCCUAACACAUGCAAGUCGAGCGGAUGAAGGGAGCUUGCUCCUGGAUUCAGCGGCGGACGGGUGAGUAAUGCCUAGGAAUCUGCCUGGUAGUGGGGGAUAACGUCCGGAAACGGGCGCUAAUACCGCAUACGUCCUGAGGGAGAAAGUGGGGGAUCUUCGGACCUCACGCUAUCAGAUGAGCCUAGGUCGGAUUAGCUAGUUGGUGGGGUAAAGGCCUACCAAGGCGACGAUCCGUAACUGGUCUGAGAGGAUGAUCAGUCACACUGGAACUGAGACAUGGUCCAGACUCCUACGGGAGGCAGCAGUGGGGAAUAUUGGACAAUGGGCGAAAGCCUGAUCCAGCCAUGCCGCGUGUGUGAAGAAGGUCUUCGGAUUGUAAAGCACUUUAAGUUGGGAGGAAGGGCAGUAAGUUAAUACCUUGCUGUCUUGACGUUACCAACAGAAUAAGCACCGGCUAACUUCGUG